GGCUGGUUCAGGGUCAGAGGCAGAGGCAGAGUAGUCAGGCGGGCUGGUUCAGGGUCAGAGGCAGAGUAGUCAGGCGGGCUGGUUCAGUGUCAGAGUCAGAGUAGUCAGGCGGGCUGGUUCAGGGUCAGAGGCAGAGUAGUCAGGCGGGCUGGUUCAGGGUCCGGACUGGCAAGGGUCAAAAACCAGGAGGGUGGGAAAAAAAGAGAGGCUGGGAAAAGCCAGGAACUGACAGGACAAACGUUGGUAAGCUUGACAAACAAGAGGAACUGGUAACAGACAGACAGAAAACACAGGUAUAAGUACACAGAG
ensembl:lncRNA